rnacentral:rRNA from 1 species
CACGUAGGGCGCAAGCGUUGUCCGGAAUUAUUGGGCGUAAAGAGCUCGUAGGCGGUCUGUUGCGUCCGCUGUGAAAACUCGGGGCUUAACCCCGAGCCUGCAGUGGAUACGGGCAGACUAGAGGUAGGUAGGGGAGAAUGGAAUUCCCGGUGUAGCGGUGAAAUGCGCAGAUAUUGGGAAGAACACCUGCGGCGAAGGCGGGUCUCUGGGCAGUAACGUGACGCUGAGGAGCGAAAGCGUGGGGAGCGAACAGG